rnacentral:rRNA from 1 species
CGCAGCCGCGGUAAUUCCAGCUCCAAUAGCGUAUAUUUAAGUUGUUGCAGUUAAAAGCUCGUAGUUGAAUUUCGGGAUCAAAUUGUCGGUCGUGCCUCGGUACGUACUGGCGUUAUUGGUUCCUCCCUUCUGAAGAACCGCGAUGUCAUUAAUUUGGUGUCGCGGGGAAUCAGGACUGUUACUUUGAAAAAAUUAGAGUGUUUAAAGCAGGCUCGCGCUUGAAUACAUUAGCGUGAAAUAUGAAAUAGGACGUUUGAUUCUAUUUUGUUGGUUUCUAGGAUCGACGUAAUGAUUAAUAGGGAUAGUUGGGGGCAUUAGUAUUCAAUUGUCAGAGGUGAAAUUCUUGGAUUUAUUGAAGACUAACUACUGCGAAAGCAUUUGCCAAGGAUGUUUUCAUUAAUCAAGACGAAAGUUAGGGAUCGAGGACGAUCAGAUACCGUCGUAGUCUUAACCAUAAACUAUGCCGACUAGGGAUCGGAUGAUGUUAAUUUUUAAUGACUCAUUCGGCGCUUACGGGAACCAAAGUGUUGGGUUCG